GCUGGACACAGUGGUGCAUGCCUGUAAUCCCAGCAACUUGGGAGGCUGAGGCAGGAAAAUUGCAAGUUAGAGAGCAGCCUCAGCAACUUAGCAAGACCCUGUCUCAA
rnacentral:sRNA from 1 species